rnacentral:snRNA from 1 species
GUGCUUGCUUCGGCAGCACAUAGACUAAAACAGGAACGAUACAGAGAAGAUUAGCAUGGUCCCUGCGCAAGGAUGACAGGCAAAUUUGUGAAGCGUUCCAUAUUUAA